UCGAUGCAUACGAUGAAAUAAACAUUUUGAAAACAUCCGAAUUUGAAUGUUUUCUGAACAGUUUUUUUGUUAUUGAAAAGAAAACACAUUCCUGGUUGAGAGUUCGAAGCGUGCAGAACAAAAGGAACAGAGCUGUGAAGAGCCCUUUAUUUUCCUUAUGCAAUUUGCAGACAGGUAUUCUAACCUUUGGAACACAACUGGACUCACAAUUGGGAUAUUCCUGAUCGCUUGGACUUCAUAGCUGCUGAAUGGGCACAUUUUGUCUUUUUACGUCUGUGGUGUCCUGCAUCUGUCACGCAAGUAAAACUACCUCUCAACCAGGUGUCUAAUCGGAAAAUUUAUAUUGGCAAUCCAUUUUGUAACAAACGCUCAUUGGUUUGUAAUCGUUUUCAAGAGUGGCCAACCAUUUUGGAAAAUAAAAGCAUUGGACUGGACUUUGCAAUCCAUGUUGGGAUAAACGCUGAUUGGAUUGUAAUCGAUUUCACUAGUGACCAACCAGUUUGGAAAAUAAAUUCUUUGGAGUGGAGUAAUUUGGCAAAUCAUUUUGAAAAAUAAACUUAUUGGACUUGAGGUGACUUUCUACAAAUUUACCUUAAUUUGGAGUACAACCUGGCUUUUUGUAUCCUGAGGAUCGCCAACGCUCUCUUCAACAUAGGAGAGUUCGCUUGACAGUCCAAAAAAAAAAAAAAAAAAAAAAGAAAACACA